rnacentral:rRNA from 1 species
UACGGGAGGCAGCAGUGGGGAAUAUUGCACAAUGGGCGCAAGCCUGAUGCAGCCAUGCCGCGUGUAUGAAGAAGGCCUUCGGGUUGUAAAGUACUUUCAGUCGUGAGGAAGGUGUUAAGGUUAAUAACCUUAGCAAUUGACGUUAGCGACAGAAGAAGCACCGGCUAACUCCGUGCCAGCAGCCGCGGUAAUACGGAGGGUGCGAGCGUUAAUCGGAAUUACUGGGCGUAAAGGGCACGCAGGCGGUUAAUUAAGUUGGAUGUGAAAUCCCCGGGCUUAACCUGGGAAUGGCAUUCAAGACUGGUUAGCUAGAGUCUUGUAGAGGGGGUAGAAUUCCAUGUGUAGCGGUGAAAUGCGUAGAGAUGUGGAGGAAUACCGGUGGCGAAGGCGGCCCCUGGCAAAGACUGACGCUCAUGUGCGAAAGCGUGGGGAGCAAACAGGGAUUAGAUAACC